rnacentral:rRNA from 1 species
GGCGUAAAGGGCUCGCAGGCGGUUUCUUAAGUCUGAUGUGAAAGCCCCCGGCUCAACCGGGGAGGGUCAUUGGAAACUGGGGAACUUGAGUGCAGAAGAGGAGAGUGGAAUUCCACGUGUAGCGGUGAAAUGCGUAGAGAUGUGGAGGAACACCAGUGGCGAAGGCGACUCUCUGGUCUGUAACUGACGCUGAGGAGCGAAAGCGUGGGGAGCGAACAGGAUUAGAUACCCUGGUAGUCCACGCCGUAAACGAUGAGUGCUAAGUGUUAGGGGGUUUCCGCCCCUUAGUGCUGCAGCUAACGCAUUAAGCACUCCGCCUGGGGAGUACGGUCGCAAGACUGAAACUCAAAGGAAUUGACGGGGGCCCGCACAAGCGGUGGAGCAUGUGGUUUAAUUCGAAGCAACGCGAAGAACCUUACCAGGUCUUGACAUCCUCUGACAAUCCUAGAGAUAGGACGUCCCCUUCGGGGGCAGAGUGACAGGUGGUGCAUGGUUGUCGUCAGCUCGUGUCGUGAGAUGUUGGGUUAAGUCCCGCAACGAGCGCAACCCUUGAUCUUAGUUGCCAGCAUUCAGUUGGGCACUCUAAGGUGACUGCCGGUGACAAACCGGAGGAAGGUGGGGAUGACGUCAAAUCAUCAUGCCCCUUAUGACCUGGGCU